ensembl:lncRNA
CUAUUCUGUUUCUGUAUUCUGAGUCUGGUCGAUCCAGCCUCAAAUUCAAACAAGUGAUCAUCAAUCACAAUCCUUUAUCUCCCAUAAUUGCUGUUCUUUCUUGAGCUAGUAAGCUUCAUCCAGCCAAGUCAUAUUCUAAGCCAUCCAAACAAUAAUGGAUGCUUCCAAACAUCGUAGGAAGCAUCCACAAAGACUGCCUGCAUCCAUCCAUUUUCUCCUAAUAGAUCACAAUUAAGUUAAUAGAACACAAAAAUGGAAUGUUGAGGUUUGUGCAUCAAAACCCAAUAUCUGCUGUCCACUACUCUCAAAGGUAAGUGUGCAGAUGUCUACAUUAGUUUCAAAAUGGUUUAGUUGUGUAAACACUAUUUAUCAAGCAGUGAAUAUUCCAUUAAUGUAUUUUCAGAUUUCUGCAAUAUGCUACACUUCAAACUUCCUUAUCCAUAAUGAUUCUCCACUCCAUUAACUGUUUUUAUGAAGCAACACAAAACCAAUUAAAAAGGUAAAUUCCAUUGCAUGAUGUCUGCAAAUCUCGAAUUGACAUUUCUUCAAGCACUGCUUCACCUAAUAGCAAUACAUUUUCAGGUUUGUGCAUCAAAACUCAAUAUCUACUGUCCACUACUCCCAAAAGAUUUCUGCAAUACGCUACACUUCAAACUUCCUUCUCCAUUAUAUGAUUCUCCACUCCAUGAACUAUUUUUAUGAAGCACACAACCAAUAAAAAUAAAAGUGAAUACAAAACCAUUGUUCAAGUAUCUUCAGAAAAUGUCCCGGUGACACUCUAAACUGAUGCAGGCAGUCAAUAGGCAAAGAUAUCACACAUGCAUAACCACAAAAGUAACACAAUU